rnacentral:rRNA from 1 species
GACGAACGCUGGCGGCGUGCCUAAUACAUGCCAGUAGAACGCUGAAGGAGGAGCUUGCUUCUCUGGAUGAGUUGCGAACGGGUGAGUAACGCGUAGGUAACCUGCCUGGUAGCGGGGGAUAACUAUUGGAAACGAUAGCUAAUACCGCAUAAUAGUAGAUGUUGCAUGACAUUUGCCUAAAAGGUGCAAUUGCAUCACUACCAGAUGGACCUGCGUUGUAUUAGCUAGUUGGUGGGGUAACGGCUCACCAAGGCGACGAUACAUAGCCGACCUGAGAGGGUGAUCGGCCACACUGGGACUGAGACACGGCCCAGACUCCUACGGGAGGCAGCAGUAGGGAAUCUUCGGCAAUGGACGGAAGUCUGACCGAGCAACGCCGCGUGAGUGAAGAAGGUUCUCGGAUCGUAAAGCUCUGUUGUAAGAGAAGAACGAGUGUGAGAGUGGAAAGUUCACACUGUGACGGUAUCUUACCAGAAAGGGACGGCUAACUACGUG